rnacentral:rRNA from 1 species
GGGAAUCUUGCGCAAUGGGCGAAAGCCUGACGCAGCCAUGCCGCGUGAAUGAUGAAGGUCUUAGGAUUGUAAAGUUCUUUCGCCCGUGACGAUGAUGACGGUAACGGGAGAAGAAGCCCCGGCUAACUUCGUGCCAGCAGCCGCGGUAAUACGAAGGGGCUAGCGUUGUUCGGAAUUACUGGGCGUAAAGCGCGCGUAGGCGGUUUUGCAAGCCAGAGGUGAAAUGCCUGAGCUCAACUUAGGAAUUGCCUUUGGGACUGCGAGGCUUUGAGGACUGGAGAGGUGAGUGGAAUUCCCAGUGUAGAGGUGAAAUUCGUAGAUAUUGGGAAGAACACCAGUGGCGAAGGCGGCUCACUGGCCAGUUUCUGACGCUGCAGCGCGAAAGCGUGGGGAUCGAAACAG